GGGCUCACUGCCGCAGCACAGAUACUAAGACUGGAGCAAUACAGAGAUUAGCAUGGCCCCUGCACAAACAUGCAAACAUGCAUGUUUGGGAAGUUUCCCAUAUUUUA
ensembl:snRNA U6 U6 spliceosomal RNA